UCUCCGUUGGUGAACCAGCGGAGGGAUCAUUACCGAGUUUACAACUCCCAAACCCAAUGUGAACCAUACCAAACUGUUGCCUCGGCGGGGUCACGCCCCGGGUGCGUCGCAGCCCCGGAACCAGGCGCCCGCCGGAGGGACCAACCAAACUCUUUCUGUAGUCCCCUCUCGGACGUUAUUUCUUACAGCUCUGAGCAAAAAUUCAAAAUGAAUCAAAACUUUCAACAACGGAUCUCUUGGUUCUG
rnacentral:misc_RNA from 1 species